UAGCAUAUCAAUAAGCGGAGGAAAAGAAACCAACAGGGAUUACCUCAGUAACGGCGAGUGAAGCGGUAACAGCUCAAAUUUGAAAUCUGGCAGCAAUGUCCGAGUUGUAAUUUGUAGAGGAUGUUUCGAGCAUGGUCUGGCCUAAGUUCCUUGGAACAGGACGUCAUAGAGGGUGAGAAUCCCGUAUGCGGUCAGGUGCCUACGCUCAUGUGAAACUCCUUCGACGAGUCGAGUUGUUUGGGAAUGCAGCUCAAAAUGGGUGGUAAAUUUCAUCUAAAGCUAAAUAUUGGCCAGAGACCGAUAGCGCACAAGUAGAGUGAUCGAAAGAUGAAAAGCACUUUGGAAAGAGAGUUAAACAGUACGUGAAAUUGUUGAAAGGGAAGCGCUUGCAACCAGACUUGCACGCAGUUAAUCAUCCGCUGUUCUCAGUGGUGCACUUGAUUGCGUUCAGGCCAGCAUCGGUUUUGGUGGUGGGAUAAAGGCCUUAGGAAUGUAGCUGCUUUCGGGCAGUGUUAUAGCCUAGGGUGCAAUGCCGCCUACUGGGACCGAGGACCGCGCUUCGGCUAGGAUGCUGGCGUAAUGGUUGUAAGCGACCCGUCUUGAAACACGGACCAAGGAGUCUAACAUCUAUGCGAGUGUUUGGGUGUCAAACCCAUACGCGUAAUGAAAGUGAACGGAGGUCAGAACCCUUAAGGGUGCAUGAUCGACCGGUCCUGAAGUCUUCGGAUGGAUCUGAGUAAGAGCAUAGCUGUUGGGACCCGAAAGAUGGUGAACUAUGCCUGAAUAGGGUGAAGCCAGAGGAAACUCUGGUGGAGGCUCGCAGCGGUUCUGACGUGCAAAUCGAUCGUCAAAUUUGGGUAUAGGGGGCGAAAGACUAAUCGAACCAUCUAGUAGCUAGCUUCUGCGA
rnacentral:rRNA from 1 species